rnacentral:rRNA from 1 species
ACUCAAAGGAAUUGACGGGGGCCCGCACAAGCAGCGGAGCAUGUGGUUUAAUUCGAAGCAACGCGAAGAACCUUACCAGGACUUGACAUCCAAAGAAUCCACAAGAGAUUGAGGAGUGCCCUUCGGGGAACUUUGAGACAGGUGGUGCAUGGUUGUCGUCAGCUCGUGUCGUGAGAUGUUGGGUUAAGUCCCGCAACGAGCGCAACCCUUGUCGUUAGUUGCUACCAUUAAGUUGAGCACUCUAACGAGACUGCCGGGGUUAACUCGGAGGAAGGUGGGGAUGACGUCAAAUCAUCAUGCCCCUUAUGUCCUGGGCUACACACGUGCUACAAUGGCCGGUACAAAGAGAAGCAAUACCGCGAGGAGGAGCAAAUCUCAAAAACCGGUCCCAGUUCGGAUUGCAGGCUGCAACUCGCCUGCAUGAAGCUGGAGUUGCUAGUAAUCGCAGAUCAGAAUGCUGCGGUGAAUGCGUUCCCGGGCCUUGCACACACCGCCCGU